rnacentral:rRNA from 1 species
CACGUAGGGCGCAAGCGUUGUCCGGAAUUAUUGGGCGUAAAGAGCUCGUAGGCGGUCUGUUGCGUCCGCUGUGAAAACUCGGGGCUUAACCCCGAGCCUGCAGUGGAUACGGGCAGACUAGAGGUAGGUAGGGGAGAAUGGAAUUCCCGGUGUAGCGGUGAAAUGCGCAGAUAUCGGGAGGAACACCAGAGGCGGAAGGCGAACUACCUGGACAAUAGC